AUCUGUAGUUCAGUGGCAGAACGUCAGCUUCCCAAGCUGAAUAUGCGAGUUCGAUUCUCGUCAGGU
rnacentral:tRNA from 1 species